rnacentral:lncRNA from 1 species
CCAUAUUUAAUUGCGUUUUUUGUUCGUUUUUGUCUAUUAGUUCCUAGAAAAUUCAUAUAAAGUGUAGACGAAUUAUAUGAAUUAGGGUUUUUUGAGCUCUGAUAGGGAAGUUUUCUUUGUUUUUGUUGAAUGGGUGAGAAAUGUGCAAUUUCUUAUUUUUUUUCUUCUUCUUAUUUUCUGAAUUGAAUGCAGUGAUGAAUUUGGGGUUUAUAUACAUCAUGGGGGGAAAUUUACUAGAGUUGGGUGUGCAAGAUUGUACAUUGAGGGUAGGGCAAUUGUAAAAAUGGUAGAUAAGGAUAGAUUUGGGUAUUUUGAUUUAGUCGAAUUAGUUCGUGAAUUAGGUUAUGUCAGUUGGGAUUGCCGUUCUUGAAAAGCACCUAGGACACUUGUCUUUUUUUUUUUUAAUUUAGAAAAUGAUGCAUGUUAGGAAAUAAAAGAAUAUCCAAUCCUAUAUUUUGAUGAUACCAAAACCACUGAAAGGCACAUUCUAGCUAAUGGUGGUUUGAGUUUCU